rnacentral:misc_RNA from 1 species
GAUGAAGAACGCAGCGAAAUGCGAAACGUAAUGUGAAUUGCAGAAUUCAGUGAAUCAUCGAGUCUUUGAACGCACAUUGCGCCCUCUGGUAUUCCGGAGGGCAUGCCUGUCCGAGCGUCAUUGCUGCCCUCAAGCACGGCUUGUGUGUUGGGCCCCGCCCCCCGAUCCCGGGGGGCGGGCCCGAAAGGCAGCGGCGGCACCGCGUCCGGUCCUCGAGCGUAUGGGGCUUUGUCACCCGCUCUGUAGGCCCGGCCGGCGCCUGCCGAUCAACCAAACUUUUUUCCAGGUUGACCUCGGAUCAGGUAGGGAUACCCGCUGAACUUAAGCAUAUCAAUAAGCGGAGGA